CUUUGAUGCUCUGUGUGCUUCUUACCCUGUGUGCUGCAAUACAGUGCUGCUGGAACCUCCGUUUCCAUGAUGGGGUCUUCCCCAGGGAUCAAUGAAUUUUGGUCUAAUCUAAUCUAAUGACCCCAUCACACACACAAUAUGAAGUUGGG